ACUGGUCAUACCUCUUUGCACUCUCGCCUUAUACAAAAAGCACAGAAUAAACACUGGCCAGAUGGAAAUGAACUAAGUGAUGCCCUUUAUACUAACGCGCAUAUCCAUUUCACAAUGCCAUGGACCAAUGUUCUCAUCUCAGUUGUGACUUAACUCUCUCUCCCCAACGAGCGAGGGGCUGAAUGAUCACCUUAGUCUUCACCGGAAGAAUUCUCCUGGGAUGACUUCAAGGAGUGAAAAUUAUUUGCAGAACCUUCAACAGAGUUGCUUAUUGAUGAAUCCAUCAGCUGUAGAGCUUCCCCCUUCAACUGUGGCCUGAAAGAUGAUGUUGGCUCACUUGAGGCACUGCUGGAAAUUGCCGUGUGUUCAGGGUGGGCGUAGACCUCUGAACCAGAGAAGCUUUUAUAGAUUUAGAGAAACUUUGUGGGGUACAGACUAAAUGGGGAGACUUCAUCUUCUCAUCAGAGCACUCUGGCAACCGGUAUCUGUACCACCAGAACAUUGUGUUUGCAGAUUGAAUGCCUGACGGUCUACAGGUUACUCCACCAGAGGCGGCACCUUCACACUCAGAGAAUAAGGCACCCAUGGGUCUGGUACCAUGUGACCAGCACUGCUCUGUGUUGUAGAAAACAAUUUGUUAAAGGGAAUAUUGAGACUCACACUGAGCCCAGCUUGGUCUUUGUGUCAUUGAAGAUGAAAAGAAACAGGAGAUGGAGUUUUGGGCUGUAAGUAACUUUGAAGUGAAUUGAGAAGAUGUGAAAUACAUAAUAUAAAUAAUAAUGAAAUAGUUGAUGAGUAAGUAGUGAUGUGCAUAGGCCAGCCCAUGAUAACAAAGCACUGGUGCUGGCCGUGUUGUCCAGGGCUGUGAUGGAAGCUGAAUGAAAGAAAAGAGAUUGGACAUGGUCUUUAGAGAUUAGCCAGGAUUUGGGUAAACUGAGGGGACGGCAAAUGAAGAGAAGCAGGUUCAGCAGCCCCAAGGAUGAUUGAGCAAGCCAGGGGCUCACAUCGCAUCAGCUGGAAUCCAGAAUGCUUCAUAGAGACCCAGUUGUCAAGGGCUAAACCAAGAGGA
rnacentral:lncRNA from 1 species